rnacentral:rRNA from 1 species
CAGUAGCCGCGGGAAUACGUAGGUGGCAAGCGUUGUCCGGAAUUAUUGGGCGUAAAGGGCUCGCAGGCGGUUUCUUAAGUCGGAUGUGAAAGCCCCCGGCUCAACCGGGGAGGGUCGUUGGAAACUGGGAAACUUGAGUGCAGAAGAGGAGAGUGGAAUUCCACGUGUAGCGGUGAAAUGCGUAGAGAUGUGGAGGAACACCAGUGGCGAAGGCGACUCUCUGGUCUGUAACUGACGCUGAGGAGCGAAAGCGUGGGGAGCGAACAGGAUUAGAUACCCCUGUAGUCCCUGUCUCUUAUAC